CAACGCUCGCGGCUAUAUAACUGACAAGCCAUUCAACCAAUCAGAGGAAGGGGAGCGACUGGCCAAUGGGGACGCAGUGGACACUAUGCACAGACGCGAGGCCCAGGACCUUCUACUCUCCAGCUAAUUGGAAGCCUUUGAGGAGGACCGCUGUGGAGUCCCGAUGACUGCUGGAUUUCGUCGCAGGCAGGGAGACCCUCUGGGAUUAUGGACACCGGGAAAGCAGGACCCUCCACAGUUCCAUCAAACAGCCCCUAAGGGAGACCCUUCUGUCAACAUAUAUGAAGAUUCCUAACCAUCAGAGGAGUGAAGUUCUGGAACUGUCUUCGAAGGGAAGCAGUGGGAGCAAAAAUCCUAACUGGCUUCAAGACUGAGCCUGAUGAGUUUAUGGAGGAGAUGGUAUGACGAAACUGCCUACAAUGGCACAUAGCUGAUCUGUGACUGCUAGUUGCAAAUAUCUCCCAUGACUGCUGGUGAGACACUAGAUGGGGAAGGCUCUGA